rnacentral:rRNA from 1 species
ACUACUCUCGGUAACGGAUAUCUCGGCUCUCGCAUCGAUGAAGAACAUAACAAAAUGCGAUACCUGGUGUGAAUUGAAGAAUCCCAUGAACCAUCGAGUCUUUGAACACAAGUUGUGCCCGAGGCCACCCGGCUGAGGGCACGCCUGCCUGGGCAUCAUGC